AACCUCAUCCUAACACGAGCUGAAUCCGACUGUCGGGAGCAAGGGGAAGGCCUCAUCCCGAUGCAAGUAAAGACUCGAUUGAUCAACGAGGAGGAAAGCUUCCUCAAUGACUCCUCUACACUCUCACGACCCCGUCAAGAGCAGAGGGAAGACCCUCACUCGAACGUGAAAGAAAAAGAGGAGGAUGAAAAAGAAAAGCCGACGAACUACUUCUACGACAAGUAAAAACAAACUACAUCAAAGACAUAAGGAACUUCGUCUCAGUCUCAAAGAGGGAACCUAACAUAGACCGAGGAUAAAUCAACCUCCUCAAAGCAACGAG
rnacentral:lncRNA from 1 species